rnacentral:rRNA from 1 species
CCUACGGGUGGCAGCAGUGAGGAAUAUUGGUCAAUGGGCGAGAGCCUGAACCAGCCAAGUCGCGUGAGGGAGUACUGCCCUAUGGGUUGUAAACCUCUUUUGUCGGGGAGCAAAAGCCGGACGUGUCCGGCUGUGAGAGUACCCGAAGAAAAAGCAUCGGCAAACUCCGUGCCAGCAGCCGCGGUAAUACGGAGGAUGCGAGCGUUAUCCGGUUUUAUUGGGUUUAAAGGGGGCGCAGGGGGAUUUUUAAGGCGGCGGUAAAAUCGUGGGGCUCAACCCCAUCCAGCCGUUGAAACUGGGGAUCUAGAGUGUGCGAGAGGUAUGCGGAAUGCGUGGUGUAGCGGUGAAAUGCAUAGAUAUCACGCAGAACCCCGAUUGCGAAGGCAGCAUACCGGUGCACAACUGACGCUCAGGCACGAAAGCGUGGGUAUCGAACAGGAUUAGAUACCCGAGUAGUC